UACGGGGGGAGCAAGCGUUGUUCGGAUUUACUGGGCGUAAAGGGCGCGUAGGCGGCGUGACAAGUCACUUGUGAAAUCUCCGGGCUUAACUCGGAACGGUCAAGUGAUACUGUCGUGCUAGAGUACAGAAGGGGCAACUGGAAUUCCUGGUGUAGCGGUGAAAUGCGUAGAUAUCAGGAGGAACACCGGUGGCGAAGGCGGCUUUCUGGACAGAUACCGACGCUGAGGCACGAAAGCUAGGGGAGCAAACAGG
rnacentral:rRNA from 1 species